CUUGAAACAACAGAGGAAAGCCCAUUAACGUUACUUAAAUCCUAAAUCAGAAUGAAAUGUGGUUUGUCAGCUUAACAGCGGAUGUAAUUAUAAUGUUGUGUGUUUAAGGAAGCGGAUAAACAUGAUUAGCAUGUCCGUUUAUUGACAGAGCUGUCAUGAUCCCGCUGCUAGCGCAGUUAGCUUAGCAUGAGACGGAGGGGCGCUGUACACCUGAGGAUCCACUGGUCUGCAUUACAAACCCUUUCAGGUGGUCUGAAGUCAGGUUUCUUCCAGGUGCCAUGGUUGUAGGCUAAAUGUGAAGGAGCUUUUGCAGCACAAUGUCUGCCCUGCUGAUUGCCAUCUCAGUAUUUCUCAUCUUGGCAGUUGUAUUCAUUUUGAUCUUUAGAUGGUUUGCUUGCAGUUUGGCUGUCCGUUUUUUCCACGAUGUCCUGAAUGCAGAGCUCAAGAUCAGAUCUGUGGGUCUUUUCUCAGUGCGAGGAAUCAGUGUUCAGUUUCAGCCUCAACACA